rnacentral:rRNA from 1 species
CGUAAAGAGCUUGUAGGUGGCUUGUCGCGUCUGCCGUGAAAACCCGAGGCUCAACCUCGGGCGUGCGGUGGGUACGGGCAGGCUAGAGUGUGGUAGGGGAGACUGGAACUCCUGGUGUAGCGGUGAAAUGCGCAGAUAUCAGGAAGAACACCGAUGGCGAAGGCAGGUCUCUGGGCCAUUACUGACACUGAGAAGCGAAAGCAUGGGUAGCGAACAGGAUUAGAUACCCUGGUAGUCCAUGCCGUAAACGUUGGGCACUAGGUGUGGGGGACAUUCCACGUUUUCCGCGCCGUAGCUAACGCAUUAAGUGCCCCGCCUGGGGAGUACGGCCGCAAGGCUAAAACUCAAAGGAAUUGACGGGGGCCCGCACAAGCGGCGGAGCAUGCUGAUUAAUUCGAUGCAACGCGAAGAACCUUACCAAGGCUGGACAUGCACUGGACGGCUGCAGAGAUGUGGCUUUCUUUGGACUGGUGCACAGGUGGUGCAUGGUUGUCGUCAGCUCGUGUCGUGAGAUGUUGGGUUAAGUCCCGCAACGAGCGCAACCCUCGUUCUAUGUUGUCAGCACGUGAUGGUGGGGACUCAUAGGAGACUGCCGGGGUCAACUCGGAGGAAGGUGGGGACGACGUCAAAUCAUCAUGCCCCUUAUGUCUUGGGCUUCAAGCAUGCUACAAUGGUCGGUACAAUGGGUUGCGAAACUGUGAGGUGGAGCGAAUCCCAAAAAGCCGGCCUCAGUUCGGAUUGGGGUCUGCAACUCGACCCCAUGAAGUCGGAGUCGCUAGUAAUCGCA